GACAGAGGAUGCAAGCGUUAUCCGGAAUGAUUGGGCGUAAAGCGCACGUAGGCGGACAUUUAAGUCAGGGGUGAAAUCCCGGGGCUCAACCCCGGAACGGCCUUUGAUACUGGGUGUCUUGAGUUCGGAAGAGGUGAGUGGAAUUGCGAGUGUAGAGGUGAAAUUCGUAGAUAUUCGCAGGAACACCAGUGGCGAAGGCGGCUCACUGGUCCGAUACUGACGCUGAGGUGCGAAAGCGUGGGGAGCAAACAGGG
rnacentral:rRNA from 1 species